rnacentral:rRNA from 1 species
UACAGAGGUCCCAAGCGUUGUUCGGAUUCACUGGGCGUAAAGGGUGCGUAGGUGGCCAGGUAAGUUCGGUGUGAAAGCUCGGAGCUUAACUUCGAAAUGGCAUUGAAUACUAUCUGGCUGGAGGGCUGGAGGGGAGACUGGAAUUCUCGGUGUAGCAGUGAAAUGCGUAGAUAUCGAGAGGAACACCAGUGGCGAAGGCGAGUCUCUGGACAACACCUGACACUGAGGCACGAAAGCCAGGGGAGCAAAC